GCCUUUCCUUUAGUCUCUGCUUUAUUUUUGUCCCUGCAUUUUUGAGAAAUGGCUUUUAAAAAGCUAUUACUGGGGGCUGGAAGAUGGCUCAGUGGUUAAGAGCACUGACUGCUCUUCCAGAGGUCCUGAGUACAAUUCACAGCAAACAUGUGGUUGUUUACAACCAUCUGUAAUGGGAUCCAAUGUCACCAAUACAGCGACAGUGUAUUCAUAUACAUAAAAUCAAUCAAUAAAUCUAAAAACAAAGCUAUUACUGAUGUUUUUCUUCCUUCCUCUCUCCUUCCCUCCCCACCUCUCUCCCUUCUUUCCCCCACCCUCUCUUUUCUCACGUGUCCCAUGCUGUCCUCACUUGACCCUCUUGACUCUGUUCCUAGCAUCCUGCACUCUUUCAGAGAGAUUGUAUGUGUCUGGUGUUAUUUAUAUGUUUACUUUGAGUUUUUUUUUAAAUGAUUGUGUGUGUGUGUUCAUGAGUUUGUUUGGAUCACAUGCAUGCACAGGCCUGUGGAGGCCAAGGAAGGGCAUUGGAUACUCUAGAACUGUGGUUACAACUAUCUGUACCUAAGAAUUGGAGUACAGAUUUCAGCCACCAACCAUGCUUCGGAAUAUGUAUCUAGUGUUCCCAGCCUUCGCCUCUUCAGAAUUUCCUCUGUAUUUCCGUAUCCAUCAAAAAAAAAUAUUGGGAAGAAGGGAGAGGGAAAGGUAGGAAGUGGGGGUAUGCUCAAGGUACAUGAUAUGCAUGUAGGAAACGUCUCUGUUAAAACUGUACCAUAUUUUAUGAACAUAUAUGAAUAGAAUGGGAUAUGAUGUCGUCUUAGGAACCACUAUAGUGGAAUUAUUAUGAGUAAGAGGACUAAGCAUGAGCAGACUCGAAGAUCCUAAUCUGCAGAUUUGCCAGCUCUGCUCUGUGCUGCCGUGGGCAGGGAGCUGACUUCUUUAAGCCUCUAUUUCCUCAUCUAUGAAUAAGAAGGUCAGGUUAGCAGGAGCAUUAAGUGAUUUCUACGCAAAGCAUCUACGCAAAGCCUGGUAUAUGGCAAGUGCUUGUUACAAAAAUCUACAUACGGCAUGCUUUAACAAUAAAACUAAAGAUAAAAAAGUACUAAUUUAAAAUUUACUUCAAUUAAUUAAUUGAACCAGUCAAAAACUAAUAAUUAGACUUAAAAAUAAACAAGUCUAUUUUAUGUGUUUAUGUUAAUUAGUCUGUACUUUAUAUUAAUUAGUAAAUGUAAAGAUAAUUAUUUCUGGUGAUAUUGCCAGUGAUUUAAAGAUGAUGCUUUGGCUAUUUAUGUGGGCAUGCUUGGUCAAAGCAAGAUGAAUCGUUCAUACCAAACAGGCAGAAUUUCUGUUAAAUGGGUCAAUUUACCUGGCACCUUCCAGGACAGAAGGAGAGAGGAGACACACAGGAUUGGUGGAAGUAGUACUUUUAUACUUCAUCUAACCAAACACUUUAAGUUUUUGCAACUUAUUUAACAUAAAGGGCUAACUUUUUAAAGGUGAUUAAAAUUAACUAUACAAAUAAGCAGGAAUUGCUUUAUAAAAAGAAAGCCCAAAAUGUUACUUUCUGUAGAAAACUCAUAGUCCAAUUUUAUUCAGACC
rnacentral:lncRNA from 1 species